UGGAAAUUUUGCUGGCUCCCGGUGCCGUUAAUACCCUUUGGUCUCGUGAGUGUCUUACAGAGAAGGUCAUGGCCCAUCAGGUGCUUGCGCCAGGUGCCCAAAGCACUGCAGGGGCUCUGCUCCGUGGGACAGCCUUGAAGGGCCCCCUCUUCGCAUGACCACAAGCUCCCACACCCUGCCACAGGAAGGGAGUCCCACGAUGAGGGAGUCUCUAGGGAUCCAAUCUCAGCCUCUCAGCAGAAUGCGGGAGAGCGAGUGCUGAUGGGCUAGAGGUGUCCCAGGAGUCGCUGUGCAGCAGGUGCAGUGUCAGCAGUCACCAUGGACCAAACCCUGCGCUCCAGACAAUCCAGGCUUCUUUCCCUGGAUUGCAAAGGGGACUUUAGCUUGGGGAAUUGGUUGCUGAGGCCUGUGUCUAUAACUUGGCUCUUUUAAUGAGGCUACAUGAUGGUACAUGAAGAGCGAUUCAAGCAAGGGGGAAUGACCAUUAGAGAGCAAGGCUGGGCCCUUUGCCGAGCUGCUGCAGUCAAGCAUCCACAGCCAGAAGAGAGACGAUGGGAAACUCGCUUAGCGUUUCUAAGCGAGCUGUCUCAUAAAGCUCUGCUCAUGCGCUAGACAACAGAGACAGGACAAAGAGCCACACAGUGAGAGCCUGGGUUGCAAUUAGCAAUAUGAAUUUUUUUCAGUGGCUUAUGCUGUCCGCACAGUCUAUUUCCUGUAAUGUGCACAUCCAGCCUCCCUGGCUGACAUAAAUGGAAGUUAGGUUCUCCGUGCCCACAGGACAGGGCUGGCCUUAGCAUGAGGCAAACUGAGGCACCUGGCUCAGGUGCCAGACUCUCUGUGUGUGCGAGCAUGCGUGCGCUGGGGUUGGGGGGGGGGCGCCACUAGGAUUCAGAGUGUAGAAAAUUGUUUGCUGCUGGAGCUGUAUUCUCUCUGCUCGAGAUGAACAGAGCUGAUGGAGUGCUGUGCUGGAGGAAGGAGAGCACAAAAGACAUACUAGGCAGGCAGGAGACAAGGUGAGAGGGACUAAAAAAAGC